rnacentral:tRNA from 2 species
GAUCCUAUAGCUCGGUGGUUAGAGCAUCUGACUCACAAUCAGGGGGGGCCUAGGUUCAAGUCCCAGUGGGACCA